ACGGGGCCCGCACAAGCGGUGGAGUAUGUGGUUUAAUUCGACGCAACGCGCAGAACCUUACCUAGACUUGACAUCCCGGGGAUUUUCUGGAAACAGAGAAGUGCUUUAGCAAUAAAGAACCCGGUGACAGGUGCUGCAUGGCUGUCGUCAGCUCGUGUCGUGGGAUGUUGGGUUAAGUCCCGCAACGAGCGCAACCCUCGCCUUUAGUUGCCAGCAUUCAGUUGGGCACUCUAGAGGGACUGCCGGUGUCAAACCGGAGGAAGGUGGGGAUGACGUCAAGUCCUCAUGGCCUUUAUGCCCAGGGCUACACACGUGCUACAAUGGGCGGUACAAAGAGCAGCGAGCUCGCGAGAGUAAGCAAAUCUCAAAAAGCCGUCCUCAGUUCGGAUUGCACUCUGCAACUCGAGUGCAUGAAGUUGGAAUCGCUAGUAAUCGUGGAUCAGAAUGCCACGGUGAAUACGUUCCCGGGCCUU
rnacentral:rRNA from 1 species